rnacentral:rRNA from 1 species
UACAGAGGUCCCGAGCGUUGUUCGGAUUCAUUGGGCGUAAAGGGUGCGUAGGCGGCGGGGCAAGUCUGAUGUGAAAUCCCGGAGCUCAACUCCGGAACUGCCUUUGAUACUGGGGAUCUUGAGUCCGGAAGAGGUGAGUGGAACUCCGAGUGUAGAGGUGAAAUUCGUAGAUAUUCGGAAGAACACCAGUGGCGAAGGCGGCUCACUGGUCCGGUACUGACGCUGAGGUGCGAAAGCGUGGGGAGCAAACAGG